GAAAGUUUUAACGCCGAAAGAUGAGCCCGCAUUUGAUUAGCUUGUUGGUGAGGUAAAGGCUCACCAAGGCAAUGAUCAAUAGCUGAUUUGAGAGGAUGAUCAGCCACACUGGGACUGAGACACGGCCCAGACUCCUACGGGAGGCAGCAGUGGGGAAUCUUGCACAAUGGAGGAAACUCUGAUGCAGCGAUGCCGCGUGAGUGAAG
rnacentral:rRNA from 1 species